UACAGAGGGUGCAAGCGUUACCCGGAUUCACUGGGUUUAAAGGGUGCGUAGGAGGGCAGGUAAGUCAGUGGUGAAAUCUCCAAGCUUAACUUGGAAACUGCCGUUGAUACUAUCUGUCUUGAAUACCGUGGAGGUGAGCGGAAUAUGUCAUGUAGCGGUGAAAUGCUUAGAUAUGACAUAGAACACCAAUUGCGAAGGCAGCUCGCUACACGAAUAUUGACUCUGAGGCACGAAAGCGUGGGGAUCAAACAGG
rnacentral:rRNA from 1 species